rnacentral:lncRNA from 1 species
AGACACGGACUUAGUAUACUCUAAAGCCUCAAACUUAGGUGUUCGCAAGGCGUCAUUCGGCCUCGACGCGGACUGGGACAAAGGUAGUAUUAGUCAUAUCUUCACAUGCUCGGCAUCUUCUCAAAAUGGCAUGAGUCUUUGGCUCACUUCUUUUCUACGAGUAGGCGUCUUAUCUGAUAACUGCAUGUUUUUAAAGCCUGAGAAUCUUGCAGGUUCUGAUCUUGCAAUUGUUGCACUUCCACCUCCAUCUGGGCCAAUAAGUCAUAGCAAUGCUCACUUUCCACUUCAAAGUCUUUGGCCUGCUUAGCCUCUUUUCCCUCGAGGGCAACCACCUUUCUUUUUAAGCCGGCCACAAUUUUCUCAUGAUCCCGUUUCAAUUGGUUCAAAUACUGCAAUGCUCUUCUGUCUUUGUAGCCCAUUGUACCUUGAGCUUUUCCAUGAUGUUCUUAGAUCUUCCCAAAUCGUCCCGACACUCAUUGAUCUCAUUCUCCAAACCUUUUAUGUAUCUCUCAUCCGACCUACUUCUUUG